UGCCCGGUUUGUUUACAUGAUGUGGGCGCAUCUGUCUGCGUCAGACAAAUACCCGGCGCAUUUACUGACGCAAAUGACGUUUAGAAAUGUUCAGCGUAGUGUCCGAAUUCUCGUUUGUUCGUUGAUUAUAUAGUGCACUAUAUCAUGAACACUAUAUAGGGAAUAGUGAGUGAGUGAAUAGGGAAAGAGUUUGGAACACAGCUCUAGUGUUUGACCCUUUUUUAAUAGGUCCAUGGUUUCUGCUCGUCACGUGACGUCUGCUCAAUGUACACAGGUUAUGUAUCGUGACUUUAUAAUUCGGGGAACAUAUCGGUGAUUCAAGACCGCUAAUAAACUCUUUCGUACAGGAUAUGUACAGAUAUCAUUACUGAAGAGAGAAGGAUCUGUAAUUAUGUUUUGGUUUUCGCGGCGCAGGUAAGAGAAGGAAGAUUCUACGCAUGCGCCCAGACAUGGCGGUGUUGUGUGAUAGUGUAUCACAGCACCAUCUAGCCGCCUGACAUGCAUAUACCCAAUCGAAUUCCACACUUUUCCGUCAGAUUUACCCAGAUUUCUUCCCGAAAACGCUCGUCUAAACCUCCUUUAUUAUACGCGACGGCGACGCCACUAUUGCGUCUUCUGUUCAGACCAUCAUGUAAACAAAGAUCAGGAAAAUGUAACGCAAUACUAAACGAAACAUUUAAAGGAAGGAUUAACCAACCCGUCCUCCGUUGCUAAACGCUCUCAUAGCAUAUAUAGAGAAAAGAGGAGAGGACCAAGACAGCUCCACUGGGCCACACCAAAAGGCAAGUCAUGUUUUACAGAUACAUGAUCUCCUAUAGACUAACAUAAAAAUCUCUGCAGUAAUGUAGGUUUGAAACCAAUUUAAACCUUUCCAGAGACCCACUUUGCAAGUCGGUGAAUUAGAAAGUAAUGUUCAAUGGUGUCGAAUGCUGCACUCAAAACAAAGAGAAUAAGGAUUGAGACUUUGUUUAAGUCAUUAGCAAGUCUGAGAUCAUUGACUAUUUUUACAAGGGCCGUUUCUGUGCUGUGAUUUGAUCUGAAACCUGAUUUGAACUUUUCCAAAAUACUAUUUUCGUUGAGGAAGGUAUUUAGCUGAUAACACAACUUUUUCAAGUACUUUGCUCAUGCCAGGUAGGUUUGAUAUAGGCCUGUAGUUACUCAGGAUGGUAUGGUCAAGAUUUUACUUUUUAAGUAAAGGUUUCACAAUAGCGGUUUUAAAAGCAGUCGGAAAUAUACCUGUUUCUAAUGAGGUAUUUGUUAUCUUGAGAAUGAGAUUCAUGAUACUCUAUCAGCAUUAUACACCAUGGUCC